ACUUCUCCAGGGGCUGCCCACUGGCCACUCCUGACCUUACUUGGCAAAUCUACCCUGCGGGCAAAGCAUCCUGUGACAGGAACCAAAACUACCACCCCCUCAAGCAAUAAGGACUGCCC